UACAGAGGGUGCAAGCGUUGUUCGGAAUUACUGGGCGUAAAGGGUGCGUAGGCGGCUUCUUAAGUCUGGUGUGAAAUCUCCCGGCUCAACUGGGAGGGUGCGCCGGAUACUGAGGGGCUAGAGUGUGGGAGAGGAAAGUGGAAUUCCUGGUGUAGCGGUGAAAUGCGUAGAUAUCAGGAGGAACACCGGUGGUGUAAACGGCUUUCUGGACCAUAACUGACGCUGAGGCACGGAAAGCGUGGGUAGCAAACAGG
rnacentral:rRNA from 1 species